AAAAAAAAAAGAACUAACUGAUCUGGAGGAUUUGACAUCCAUCCUGGACUAAUCUUUCCCAAUCUAACAGAAUUUGCCAUCCAAUGAGCACUCAAAUUAGCAUUUCUAGAUACAUUUUUAAUAGAGAUUAAAGGAUAGACUGCUAAAAACAUCCGACAAUCCUUCAUGAUAGCCUCAAGAUCCCAAGGACAAGAAAGGGAGGAGGAGAACAACAACUGAAACAGCUGAAGAGCAUCACUAUUAAUCACACAUGGCAUGAACCCUCUUCUGGAAGCUAAAAGAAUUGCUUCCCUCAAAGCCAUCCCUUCCGUAGUAGCUGGUGACAAGGCAACAAAAGCAGAUGCACAACCAUCAACCAAAAAACCACUCCUAUUCCUAACAAGGAUUCCAUAGCCAGCGCUACCCAUGUUCUGCUCAAAGGAAGCAUCCACCGAAAUAAUAGUCCUCUUGAAUAGAGGGAAACCUUGUCAACACAUUUCGAUCUGAAUCCAACGAAGAUGGAAUUUGUGGAGGGGUUUUGAGCUGUCCCUCCUCAAAGUCUUCAUGGACCCUUUUAAUUGCCUUCUAUGGAUCUGGCUGAACUCCAUCAAAGAUAGCUGCAUUACGAGUUUUCCAUCUAUGCCAACAAAGAUAACAAGCCAUCUUACAAAUACAUUGAAAAUAUUAGAAAAAAAAUUUCAAACAUAACAAGUAAAAUCUUAUAAUAGAAGUUUUUUUUUACUUUCAAAUAUAUUUGGUGUGGUGAGCAACUAUGGUGAAUAGUCUCAUAAUAACUGUAGAAAGAAUAAAUAUAAAAAUAAAUAAAAUAAUUAUGGUGAAUAGUCUCAUACUUUCUUCUGCUGCUCAGGACUAGAAUAGGGAGAUCUUUGGGAGCAUUCGUAAACAAAAAGUCAGAUUACUGAGACGCAUUGCAGGAGCCGAAAGGGCUUUGGAGAAGCAUCCUAAUUCUCAGUACUUGUUGGAUGUUGAAACUUCUCUUAAGCUUGAGUUGGAAACAGUAUUGAUUCAAGAGGAGUUAUUUUGGUUUCAGAAUUCUAUUGCUGAUUAAAAUAAUAAUGAGGACAAAAACACAAAAUAUUUUCAUUCCAAGGCAAUAAACAGGCAGAGGAGAUAUAAAAUUGAGACCUUGCAAAAAGAGGCAGGUAACUAGUGUGCUUCAGCUGAUCAACCUAAACGUCUGGCAGUCUGAUGCAAACUAAAACAGAAUUGA
rnacentral:misc_RNA from 1 species